rnacentral:tRNA from 1 species
GCCUUCGUAGUGUAGUGGUCAGCACGCUCGACGCGUAAUCGAGAGGUCCGUGGUUCGAUUCUCGGCGAAGGCA